rnacentral:rRNA from 1 species
AACGAACGCUGGCGGCAGGCCUCAAACAUGCAAGUCUAGGGGGGUGCAGCAAUGCAUGACCGGCGAACGGGUGCGUAACACGUGAGCGACCUUCCGUCUUCUGGGGGGAUAGCCGGCCCAACGGCCGGGUAAUACCGCAUACGCUCAUCGGGGGGGCAUCCCUUGAUGAGGAAACUUCCGGGGGAGGACGAGGGGCUCGCGGCCUAUCAGCUAGGUUGGGGGG